UGUGAGAGCGGGCUUGCUCGCGAAGGCGGUUUGUCAGUCAAUUGAUUCGUUGGCUGAUACACCGCCUUCGCGAGCAAGCCCGCUCCCACA
rnacentral:misc_RNA from 1 species